rnacentral:rRNA from 1 species
UACGGAGGGUGCGAGCGUUGUCCGGAAUCACUGGGCGUAAAGGGCUCGUAGGUGGCCAACUAAGUCAGACGUGAAAUCCCUCGGCUUAACCGGGGAACUGCGUCUGAUACUGGAUGGCUUGAGUUUGGGAGAGGGACGCGGAAUUCCAGGUGUAGCGGUGAAAUGCGUAGAUAUCUGGAGGAACACCGGUGGCGAAGGCGGGUCUCUGGACAGUUCCUGACACUGAGACACGAAGGCCAGGGAGCAAACGGG